AAAAAAAAAAAAAAAAAAAAAAAAACGAUUACACAACUAUGUUCUGGUACUGUUUUUGCACCAGUGGAAUCGAAUAUGAAUUUUCCGACUUGGGAUGAUCAUUUUGAGAAGCUGGAUGUCGCUCUCAG
rnacentral:ribozyme from 13 species